AGUGAACGCUGGCGGCAGGCCUAAUACAUGCAAGUCGAACGGCAGCACAGUGGAGCUUGCUCCAUGGGUGGCGAGUGGCGGACGGGUGAGGAAUACGUGGGAAUCUGCCCAGUCGUGGGGGCUAACGUAAGGAAACUUACGCUAAUACCGCAUGCGCCCUUCGGGGGAAAGCCGGGGACCUUCGGGCCUGGCGCGAUUGGAUGAGCCCACGUCGGAUUAGCUAGUUGGCGGGGUAACGGCCCACCUAGGCGACGAUCCGUAGCUGGUCUGAGAGGAUGAUCAGCCACACUGGAACUGAGACACGGUCCAGACUCCUACGGGAGGCAGCAGUAGGGAAUAUUGGACAAUGGGCGCAAGCCUGAUCCAGCCAUGCCGCGUGAGUGAAGAAGGCCUUCGGGUUGUAAAGCUCUUUUGUCCGGAAAGAAAAGCUUCGGGUUAAUACCCUGGAGUCCUGACGGUACCGGAAGAAUAAGCACCGGCUAACUUCGUGCCAGCAGCCGCAGUAAUAC
rnacentral:rRNA from 1 species